ensembl:lncRNA
CCUGGGUGCUGGCUUCUGGCUGGUGGCUGUGCCCCAGACUCUCCUAGUCCAGCUUACUGGGUGAGGCUGGACCCCUGGCAGAGUCUGUGUUGAGGACUUCCGCCCUAGUCUCACAGCUUCUGAAAGCAGACACAGCUUCAUCUUGGGUGCUGAACAAACCCCUGUGGGUCGUCAGGCCCUUUACCGGUGAGGAGAAGGUGGUAUUACUUGAGGGUUAAGGGGCCCUCGUGGGAGCUGGGGGUAGCCGCAGCUACUACUGAAUGACCCAUACAGUGCCUUGGAGAAUGAUGGAAGCUCUUGGACCUUCAUCACAAAACACACAGACAUGCCAUCUUAUGGGUGUAAUGUUGAGCAGCUCACAGGCUCCCUGGAGGCCAG